rnacentral:rRNA from 1 species
UACGUAGGGGGCAAGCGUUGUCCGGAAUUAUUGGUCGUAAAGAGCUCGUAGGCGGCUUGUCGCGUCGGAUGUGAAAGCCCGGGGCUUAACUCCGGGUCUGCAUUCGAUACGGGCAGGCUAGAGUUCGGUAGGGGAGAUCGGAAUUCCUGGUGUAGCGGUGAAAUGCGCAGAUAUCAGGAGGAACACCGGUGGCGAAGGCGGAUCUCUGGGCCGAUACUGACGCUGAGGAGCGAAAGCGUGGGGAGCGAACAGG